UGUUCUAAGAUAUAGAAGUUCUUGAGUUGUAGGAGUGAAAUUUUCUCGUGUUCUGGAAAUGGCCAAUUUUUGGCCUCACCUGAUUUGUGCCUUGGCUUUGUGCUUGAUUGCUGCUAAUGUAGCUGCUGAAGACGAGCCUUACAAUCCUAAUACUUUUGCAUCCCCACCUUUUCCAUCAUCACUACCUCCUUAUUACUAUAAAUCACUGCCACCGCUCCCACCUUUUCCAUCAUCACUGCCACCGCUCCCACCUUUUCCAUCAUCACUGCCUCCUUAUUACUAUAAAUCACUACCACCGCUGUCACCUCUGGCUCCAUCUCCAUCUCUUCCUCCGUGGUAUUACUACAAGUCACCGCCACUACCUUCACCAUCACCCCCUCCUCACUACGACUAUAAAUUACCUCCUCCUCCAUCACCAUCUCCUCAACCUCCUUAUUACUAUAAGUCCCCACCACUACCUUCUCCAUCACCCCAACCACCAGUCUACCACCACAAGUCACCACCCCCUUCCUCUCCUUCACCUCCUCCACCAUAUUACUAAAUGAAUUGCCUCUUCUAGUUUCAUAUUAUAGGAUAGAUAGAAUGAAUAAUUGAUAUCAGAAGGAACAGGAAGAUCUUUUGGGGGUACAACGACUAUUAACAUCAAAGAAAGACAGCCAGUUCAACAAUAAGGACCUUGCCAUGGCCAUGAUGCUUUGCAGUUCGGAUCAUUUUGUUUUUAUUUUAUACCCUUGAGUUCUCUUUCAGUAUAUACUAGCAAUUAAUUUGUUCUGUUAUUGGACCUUAUUGAUCUGUUUGCCAUCUACUUAAGAUUCGCAAACUUUUAAAUAAAUGGAACAUUUACAUUUAUUUCAAUGA